UACGUAGGGUCCAAGCGUUAUCCGGAAUCACUGGGCGUAAAGCGUGCGUAGGCGGAUGUUUAAGUGCAAUGCGAAAUCCUGUGGCUCAACCAUAUGGACUGUGUUGCAUACUGGAUAUCUGGAGGAAUGCAGAGGCAAGUGGAAUUACUGGUGUAGCAGUGAAAUGCGUAGAUAUCAGUAGGAACACCAAUGGCGAAGGCAGCUUGCUGGGCAUUUUCUGACGCUAAGGCACGAAAGCGUGGGGAGCGAACAGG
rnacentral:rRNA from 1 species